rnacentral:rRNA from 1 species
GACGAACGCUGGCGGCGUGCUUAACACAUGCAAGUCGAACGGUGAAAGCGGAGCUUGCUCCGCUGGAUCAGUGGCGAACGGGUGAGUAACACGUGGGCAACCUGCCCAUCACUUCGGAAUAACUCCGGGAAACCGGGGCUCAUACCGGAAAUGCCCUCCCUGGGCAUACUUGGAGGUGGCAAGUUUUUCGGUGAGGGAUUGGCCCGCGGCCGAUCAGCUGGGUGGUGCGGUGGUGGCUCACCAAGGCGACGACGGGUAGCCAGCCUGAGAGGGCGACCGGCCACACUGGGGCUGAGACGCGGCCCAGACACCUACGGGAGGCAGCAGUGGGGAAUAUUGCGCAGUGGGCGAAAGCCUGACGCAGCAACGCCGCGUGCGGGAUGACGGCCUUCGGGUUGUAAACCGCUUUCAGCAGGGAAGAAGCCGCAAGGUGACGGUACCUGCAGAAGAAGCACCGGCUAACUACGUGCCAGCAGCCGCCGUAA